CAGGCUUAACACAUGCAAGUCGAGGGGCAGCAUUUCAGUUUGCUUGCAAACUGGAGAUGGCGACCGGCGCACGGGUGAGUAACACGUAUCCAACCUGCCGAUAACUCGGGGAUAGCCUUUCGAAAGAAAGAUUAAUACCCGAUGGUAUAAUCAGACCGCAUGGUCUUGUUAUUAAAGAAUUUCGGUUAUCGAUGGGGAUGCGUUCCAUUAGGCAGUUGGUGAGGUAACGGCUCACCAAACCUUCGAUGGAUAGGGGUUCUGAGAGGAAGGUCCCCCACAUUGGAACUGAGACACGGUCCAAACUCCUACGGGAGGCAGCAGUGAGGAAUAUUGGUCAAUGGGCGCAGGCCUGAACCAGCCAAGUAGCGUGAAGGAUGACUGCCCUAUGGGUUGUAAACUUCUUUUAUAUGGGAAUAAAGUUUUCCACGUGUGGAAUUUUGUAUGUACCAUAUGAAUAAGGAUCGGCUAACUCCGUGCCAGCAGCCGCGGUAAUACGGAGGAUCCGAGCGUUAUCCGGAUUUAUUGGGUUUAAAGGGAGCGUAGGUGGACAGUUAAGUCAGUUGUGAAAGUUUGCGGCUCAACCGUAAAAUUGCAGUUGAUACUGGCUGUCUUGAGUACAGUAGAGGUGGGCGGAAUUCGUGGUGUAGCGGUGAAAUGCUUAGAUAUCACGAAGAACUCCGAUUGCGAAGGCAGCUCACUGGACUGCAACUGACACUGAUGCUCGAAAGUGUGGGUAUCAAACAGGAUUAGAUACCCUGGUAGUCCACACAGUAAACGAUGAAUACUCGCUGUUUGCGAUAUACAGUAAGCGGCCAAGCGAAAGCAUUAAGUAUUCCACCUGGGGAGUACGCCGGCAACGGUGAAACUCAAAGGAAUUGACGGGGGCCCGCACAAGCGGAGGAACAUGUGGUUUAAUUCGAUGAUACGCGAGGAACCUUACCCGGGCUUAAAUUGCAUUUGAAUAUAUUGGAAACAGUAUAGCCGUAAGGCAAAUGUGAAGGUGCUGCAUGGUUGUCGUCAGCUCGUGCCGUGAGGUGUCGGCCUAAGUGCCAUAACGAGCGCAACCCUUAUCUUUAGUUACUAACAGGUCAUGCUGAGGACUCUAGAGAGACUGCCGUCGUAAGAUGUGAGGAAGGUGGGGAUGACGUCAAAUCAGCACGGCCCUUACGUCCGGGGCUACACACGUGUUACAAUGGGGGGUACAGAAGGCAGCUACCUGGUGACAGGAUGCUAAUCCCAAAAGCCUCUCCCAGUUCGGAUCGAAGUCUGCAACCCGACUUCGUGAAGCUGGAUUCGCUAGUAAUCGCGCAUCAGCCAUGGCGCGGUGAAUACGUUCCCGGGCCUUGUACACACCGCCCGUCAAGCCAUGAAAGCCGGGGGUACCUGAAGUACGUAACCGCAAGGAGCGUCCUAGGGUAAAACUGGUAAUUGGG
rnacentral:rRNA from 1 species